rnacentral:rRNA from 1 species
UACGGAGGGAGCUAGCGUUGUUCGGAAUUACUGGGCGUAAAGCGCGCGUAGGCGGACCUGCAAGUCGGGGGUGAAAGCCCGAGGCUCAACCUCGGAACUGCCUUCGAUACUGCGGGUCUCGAGUCCGGGAGAGGUGAGUGGAAUUCCUAGUGUAGAGGUGAAAUUCGUAGAUAUUAGGAAGAACACCAGUGGCGAAGGCGGCUCACUGGCCCGGUACUGACGCUGAGGCGCGAAAGCGUGGGGAGCAAGCAGG